CAUGCGGAAGGAUCAUUAAAGAGUAAGGGUGCUCAGCGCCCGACCUCCAACCCCUUUGUUGUUAAAACUACCUUGUUGCUUUGGCGGGACCGCUCGGUCUCGAGCCGCUGGGGAUUCGUCCCAGGCGAGCGCCCGCCAGAGUUAAACCAAACUCUUGUUAUUAAACCGGUCGUCUGAGUUAAAAUUUUGAAUAAAUCAAAACUUUCAACAACGGAUCUCUUGGUUCUCGCAUCGAUGAAGAACGCAGCGAAAUGCGAUAAGUAAUGUGAAUUGCAGAAUUCAGUGAAUCAUCGAAUCUUUGAACGCACAUUGCGCCCCUUGGUAUUCCGAGGGGCAUGCCUGUUCGAGCGUCAUUACACCACUCAAGCUAUGCUUGGUAUUGGGUGCCGUCCUUAGUUGGGCGCGCCUUAAAGACCUCGGCGAGGCCACUCCGGCUUUAGGCGUAGUAGAAUUUAUUCGAACGUCUGUCAAAGGAGAGGAACUCUGCCGAUUGAAACCUUUAUUUUUCUAGGUUGACCUCGAUCAG
rnacentral:rRNA from 1 species